GUCUUGUUGGUAUGACUGGAGAGUGUGCAUACCCUGAGCUCCUAGUGCGCCGUCAUAGCAAGCCUGCUGUGUAGCCACAGCCAAGGAUCCAUCAGAGCCUUUUGCUUCCAAAAAGAAGUUCAGUACCAUUGGAAGGUCAUCCUGUGUUGAUGGAAUAAUAUGGUCACUAAGUUUGUUGCAGAUUUGACAAUCAAGCUGUUCAGGAUGCGUGCCAUAGAAGUGAUCUGGCUUGGCCUGAGCCAGUGUGCCAUCAGUUAAGAGUGCAAGAUUUCCAAUUGUUCUUUAGAUGCAUGGGUAUCUGCUUGUUUGAAUUUCCGAAAAUGUUCAUCGGAGAAGUUCAAUGGGGAA
rnacentral:sRNA from 1 species